UUCCACUUUUUAUUUUUGCAUCUCAGCAAAAGCAAAUUUCAGCGGUUUCCAGUCCAGGACGGACGGGCGGAUGGACAGACAGACAGACAAAUAUGGCGAAACUAUAAGGAUUCCUAGUUGACUACGAAAUACUAAAAUAAGCGCCAAAUUUGAAACAUGGGCGAAGGUUUAUUGUGCCAUAGAAAAUUUGAAUUAGGCGCCUUUUUUAAACGACAGUAUUUGCUUGGCCAUAAUUUUCUUUAAAUAAUUUUAUUAAUGUAAAUGUUGCAAAUAAUUGUGAAAAUAAAGUUAUCGAAUAAUAAUACUAAAGCCUGACCAGAAAUAUAUGACUAUUAUUGUCAAGAGGGCGCUGUUUAUUCUGAUGUAUGGGGUGACAUUGCAGUUUAGUAUGAAGAAUAGUUCUCAUAUUAUAUUUCUCUCUUUAUUAGGCUCUCAGGCUUUAUCAAUCUAUGACUUUCGAGCCAAUUCGUCACUACUUUUAAAAAAUUUCGUAUCUCACGCUGUUCCUCAAAGUUAAAACGCAGUAAGUCUAUAUGCAUUCCAUACAUACUUACUACAAUUUUCUUUUCAUUGAUAGACGAAGAUAUGAGUUUUUUUUUAAAGUAGUGACGAAUUAUUUAUGUCUCCUGAUUUUUAGGACACGUGUCUUCUGAUUUUAUUCAAAUUGGACCUGGCAACACUGAAAUAAUGUCAGAAUCUUUUCUUUGACAUUAUUUACAAUUUAUAUUAUUGUACAUAAUUGGUUUUUUCACUAUUCUUAAGCUAAAAAAAACACCUGUUUGUCCUCCAAAGAAUACCUUAUUGGAUUCACAGAAUGAUUGAGGAUUUGAGGGAAGCAUGUUAAGACUGUGACAAUAUGGUCUUAAGGCAGCCGGCCUCAUUGAGAACAAGAAAAUAUUCUGCUUCAUGUAGCGGUUGUUAUUUGUUAAUAUGACAUGUCUCGGCAGUGUAGUGACCCUGUGCUUAAUUAAGGCUUCAGGCUCAAAUCAUGGUAAACCAAAAUGUAAGCGGCCGGUUGAAAAAGUAGCAGAGUCGAAAAUGGAAAUUAAUGAGCUGCAGAAGUAAAUUUUAGAAGAAUAAUUCUCUUCUUUGUUGUAUCCUUGUGGCUGAGGGACAUGACGAAUGAGGCCAUUCUUUACCAGUGCUCUUCACGCCACUCAAUCCUGGGCCCGGUGCAUGCUAGCCUGCAGUGGUCUUUGUCAGAGAUGUUAUUGUGUCUGCCCAAUGUGUGCCCAUGCUGCCACUUCUUCACUUCCUUGCCGUGUCCUGUGAUUAUGGGAAUAAUAUGCAAAUAAAAACCAACAAUGGGCUAUCGAAGAACAGGAGAGGGCAUGUGGGCCUUAGAGAAAGAGUUGUUAAUGUGAAGACUAAAUAAAUUCAACAAAUAAAAUCUCAACUAUAAUACUGUCUUUGGUACACCCGCUACCAUCGCGUCAAAUAGUGAAAGUGCAGUUCAGUGUAAGCAAAGACAGUGUACAAGAUAUACCACUCACCUAUGGCAUUAGUGUUACUAGACCACAUUAAUACAUAAAGACUAUUUUCUAAACU